UGGGAGCCGUGGCACUGUCAAGUCAUCAGACGCGGUGAUUGCGAGGCCUGUGGGAAAGUACAAAAGCCUGGGCUAGAUUACCCCUCUCAUCGAGCCCGCCUGUGUGGCACCUGUUUCUUAUCACCCCACUAAGUUCCCGCCUCACAGGGUAGUCUGCCUAGCUAUUAAUCCUAUAUAUAGCCAGUGCCUCCACCCCCGAGAGAGAGAGAGAGAGACUGAAGCACAAAAGGAGCCGCGGGGAGCGGACCGGUAGAGGCUUCGGGGCAGACUGAAGCACGGAAGGAGCCGCGGAGAGCGGACCGGUAGAGGCUUUGGGGCAGACUGUAUAAGGAGAGAAUAAAGAAAAGCCUGACCACCGCUAGACCUUGUCGUGUGUCUUUCCUGCCGGCCGGGAGCGGACAUCGACAUUUGGAGGCCCGCCCGGGGAUUGAUCAACCCCGAGACGCGGCGGUGGACUGCAUUCUCCUACACAGUGCUGCAGCUGCAGGACAGGAAUCGGGACGAGAACCAAUGUGGGUCCCAGAGAGGUUGACGUGACAAGUCCCUCGACUGAAGAUCAGGCCUGUUCCACCAGAGGCCAACCGCAGACCCAACAACAAGAUGAGCCCUAAAAGAACUGCAGGACAAUCCCUUUUUGGGGGCCUGGAACGGCUUGCUCCCCUAUGUGCUACCCUUGUAUACGCAUGGCUCGCUCGCAUGGCCUACGACCGCGUUUAAAAGUGACAGGCUUCCCACAUUCUCCUCCCUAGACAACAACAUGUAGCAGGGUGGGUGAGUCAAUGACGGGUAAGAGCGUGCCUCCCCAGCACGACUCAACCUAAGCCAGGCCCUACCCCGUUCCGCUCGAAAGCCGCUGGAUUGUUAGAUAAAUUUCUCUCCGAGGGGAUUCGUGGAGAGAAAUGAGUGCAUGCCUAUGUGCAACCAGGUUCCGUCCGGUUCAUUCCUGGCCCUAGAAAAAAGGACGAGGGCCUCAGGGCCUUGGUGGACCCUGGGACGGCCGACCAGGGUCAACGCUAAGGGCCUAAGGUGGGCCUCAGUUCGGGGCAUAGGCCUCUGCACUCUAUCCAGGACGGGCUGCGAUGCGCGUAGCCAUCAUUUAAAAUAAAAUAGGGGGAGAUGUUGGGAGCCGUGGCACUGUCAAGUCAUCAGACGCGGUGAUUGCGAGGCCUGUGGGAAAGUACAAAAGCCUGGGCUAGAUUACCCCUCUCAUCGAGCCCGCCUGUGUGGCACCUGUUUCUUAUCACCCCACUAAGUUCCCGCCUCACAGGGUAGUCUGCCUAGCUAUUAAUCCUAUAUAUAGCCAGUGCCUCCACCCCCGAGAGAGAGAGAGAG